GUGAGGAAUAUUGGACAAUGGGCGGGAGCCUGAACCAGCCAAGUCGCGUGAAGGAAGAAGGAUCUAUGAUUCGUAAACUUCUUUUGCAGGGGAAUAAAGUGCGGGACGUGUCCUGUUUUGUAUGUACCCUGAGAAUAAGGAUCGGCUAACUCCGUGCCAGCAGCCGCGGUAAUACGGAGGAUCCGAGCGUUAUCCGGAUUUAUUGGGUUUAAAGGGUGCGUAGGUGGUUUGAUAAGUCAGCGGUGAAAGUUUGCAGCUUAACUGUAAAAAUGCCGUUGAAACUGUCGGACUUGAGUGUAAAUGAGGUAGGCGGAAUGCGUGGUGUAGCGGUGAAAUGCAUAGAUAUCACGCAGAACUCCGAUUGCGAAGGCAGCUUACUAAGCUACAACUGACACUGAAGCACGAAAGCGUGGGGAUCAAACAGGAUUAGAUACCCCAGUAGUCC
rnacentral:rRNA from 1 species